rnacentral:rRNA from 1 species
UACAGGGGGGGCAAGCGUUGUUCGGAAUUACUGGGCGUAAAGGGCUCGUAGGCGGCCAACUAAGUCCGACGUGAAAUCCCCAGGCUUAACCUGGGAACUGCGUCGGAUACUGGAUGGCUUGAAUUCGGGAGGGGGAUGCAGAAUUCCAGGUGUAGCGGUGAAAUGCGUAGAUAUCAGGAGGGACACCGGUGGUGUAAACGGCUUUCUGGACCAUAACUGACGCUGAGGCACGAAAGCGUGGGUAGCAAACAGG